GGGGCAGGUGAAGCAUGUAUGUAUAGUAGUCAUCUUGUAACCAUGGCUGAACACCACAAGCUAAGAAUGGCAGGACAGGGGGCUAGGAGAAGCCUGGACCUUGAGGAGAUUCUUGAGGACUGCACCAGCCCGUGUUUGCAUACAGGAUAGAACUGAGGCUACUACCAGGAGAGGGAUAUAUUGAUACUGAAUAAAGAAGUGUCUUCACUGCAAAGCACAGCAUGGCUGAGGAUCAUUAAAUGAAGAGGCAUUCUAGACGACAACGCCUUUAUUCCUGGAGGCUUAUGCAACACAAGAUGACUCCUGCCCUUCUAGGAAGAAUCUCUUACUAAAAUGAAAGUGUUUCAAGAUCAUAAAUGUUUGCAAUGAGAAUCUUGUCAGUGAGGACUCUGAGACCAGAAAUGCAAAUGACUAAUGUUCAAGUGACUAACAAAAGAUGGUGUAAACCUCCAUAUUCCUCAUCUCCACAAGCAUAAAGAAAGGUAUAAUCUAUUUUUAGUAAAUUGUGGGAGUGAAUUACACCUAAUAUCUAAAUUAAUUAGCUGGUCAUUCUUGAUUAACACUUUUCCUGUUGC